UACGUAGGGGCGAGCGUUGUCCGGAAUUAUUGGGCGUAAAGGGUUCGUAGGCGGUAAUACAUGUCAGAUGUGAAAUCUUGUGGCUUAACCACAUCAAGCAUCUGAAACUGUAUAACUUGAGUGGAGGAGAGGUAAGUGGAAUUCCUAGUGUAGCGGUGAAAUGCGCAGAUAUCAGGAGGAACACCGAUGGCGAAGGCAGGUCUCUGGGCCACUACUGACGCUGAGAAGCGAAAGCAUGGGGAGCGAACAGGAUUA
rnacentral:rRNA from 1 species